UCCUGGGUGGAAACCAUGGAGAAGUCUGGAGCCUCGGAUGUGAUGGUGGCUUAUGCCUUUUACAAGAUUGCAACUCCAGCCCGUUACACCGUGACCCUGGGCGGAACGACUUUCACGAUACGCUACCUGCGCAAGAAAGGUGUCAUGCAGAAGCCUCCCCCUUCCAAACACAUGGAGAAAAUGAAGGACUUUAUCCAGGAGAAAAGGGACCAGCUGAAAAAUAAGUAGACUUUUCUGGCAGAGAACAUCAAGGUUCCAUCCAUGACCAGCUGUCUUGUCUAGAUAUAAGGCCACAGCAAGUAAAUUUUAUGGAUGACAUCCUCCGACUCCAAAUCUAAUGCGAGCGGGCGAAAAAAAAA